rnacentral:rRNA from 1 species
UAUUUUGUUGGUUUCUAGGACCGCCGUAAUGAUUAAUAGGGACAGUCGGGGGCAUCAGUAUUCAAUUSUCAGAGSUGAAMYUCYUGGAUCAAUUGAAGACUAAMUAYUGCGAAAGCAUUUGCCAAGGAUGUUUUCMUUAAUCAGGAACGAAAGUUAGGGGAUSGAAGACGAUCAGAUACCGUSGUAGUCUUAACCAUAAACUAUGCCSACUMGGGAUCGGACGAUGUUAUUACUYGACUCSUUYGGCACCUUACGAGAAAUCAAAGUGCUUGGGCUCCAGGGGGAGUAUGGUCGCAAGGCYGAAACUUAAAGAAAUUGACGGAAGGGCACCACCAGGGGYGGAGCCUGCGGCUUAAUUUGACUCAACACGGGGAAACUCACCAGGUCCAGACACAAUGAGGAUUGACAGAUUGAGAGCUCUUUCUUGAUUUUGUGGGUGGUGGUGCAUGGCCGUUCUUAGUUGGUGGAGUGAUUUGUCUGCUUAAUUGCGAUAACGAACGAGACCUUAACCUGCUAAAUAGCCCGUAUUGCCUUGGCAGUACGCCGGCUUCUUAGA